rnacentral:lncRNA from 1 species
AAACAAUAAUGAUGCUUGGGUCCCACCUGGAGAUUCUGAUACGGUUGGUCUGGCAGCGGGGCCUAGGAGUUGGGAGUAUUAAAAUCUCAGGUGAUCUUAAUGCAGUCAAGAAGACCCACUCCCACGGGUUAGAUUGUUUGCUUAAUUUGCAUCCUAUCAGGAGGCAGGUAAUGUCACACUGAUCCAUUGUUUGUGAUGCUAAACUCAGUCACUGGAUUGAGGUGGUCACCACCAGACCUCUCCAUCACAAAGGAGGCCUCUCCAUGGCUCUCCUUUGUAAAGCUCUCACCCUUUGCUGAGGCAAGGGCCCUAUUGGAGAGGCCCACAUGGCAAGGAACUGAGGACAGCCUCUGGCCAGCAGCCAGCAGGGAACUGAGGCCCUGAGUCCAACAACCCAUAUGGAAUUAAAUGUGCCACCAUCCACUGAGUGAGUGUGCGGGCAGAUCCUUCCAGGUUGAACUCAGAUGAGACUGCAGACGCUGGCCCAACACCUGGAUUACAAGCUUGCGACAGAUCAUGAAGCAGAGGACUCAGUGAAGAUGUGCCUGGGUUCCUGACACGGAAACGAUGAGAUAAUGAAUAUCUGUUGUUUUUUGAUGCCCAGUGUUGGAGUAAUUCAUUAUGCAGCAGUAGAUAGCUAAUACAGCGCCUUGCUUGGUUUCCUCCCAUUCUUUGUCU